GACGAACGCUGGCGGCGUGCUUAACACAUGCAAGUCGAACGAAGUGGCGAACGGGUGAGUAAUACGUGUGUAACCUGCCCUCCUUUUUGGGAUAAGCCUUGGAAACGGGGUCUAAUACCGGAUAAAGGGGGAUGGGCUCGCGGCCUAUCCGCUUGUUGGUGGGGUGAUGGCCUACCAAGGCGGUGACGGGUAGCCGGCCUGAGAGGGUGACCGGCGACAUUGGGACUGAGAUACGGCCCAGACUCCUACGGGAGGCAUCAGAGGGGGAGAUGGAACAAUGGGCGAAAGACUGAUGCAGCGGCGCGGCGUGGGGGAUGAGGGUUUUCGGGUGGUAGACCUAUUUCGGUAGCGAGGCGGUAGGUGGAGAAGAAGCACCGGCUAACUACGUGCCAGCAGCCGCGGUAAUAC
rnacentral:rRNA from 1 species